rnacentral:rRNA from 1 species
GAUGAACGCUGGCGGCGUGCCUAAUACAUGCAAGUCGAGCGAACAGACGCGGCGCUUGCGCCUCUGACGUGAGCCGCAGACGGGUGAGUAACGCGUGUAUAACCUACCUAUCAGACUGAGAUAACUUCGGGAAACCGGCGCUAAUACCGGAUAAUAUAUUGCACCGUAUGGUUCAAUAGUGAAAGACGGCUUUGCUGUCUCUUCUAGCUGGAUCCGCGCCGCAUUAGCUAGUUGGUACGGUAACGGCUUUUCACGGCGACGAUGCGUAGCCGACCGGAUAGACUGGUCGGCCACCCGGGAAGGGAGACACGGUCAAGACGCCUAAGAGAGGCAGCAGUAGGGAAUGGUCGGCAAUGGGCGAAAGCCUGACGGAGCAGCGCGGCGUGAGUGAUGAAGAUCUCCGGAGCGUAAAGCUCUGUUAUUAGGGAAGAACAAAUGUGUAAGUAACUAUGGCCGGCUUGACGGUACCGGAUCAGAAAGCCACGGCUAACUACGUG